rnacentral:rRNA from 1 species
GGGCCCGCACAAGCGGUGGAGUAUGUGGUUUAAUUCGAUGCAACGCGAAGAACCUUACCAGGGCUUGACAUACUACAAAUUCUUUAGAGAUGAAGAAGUGCCUUCGGGAAUGUAGAUACAGGUGGUGCAUGGCUGUCGUCAGCUCGUGUCGUGAGAUGUUGGGUUAAGUCCCGCAACGAGCGCAACCCACGUCUUUAGUUGCCAGCAUUUAGUUGGGCACUCUAGAGAGACUGCCGGUGAUAAACCGGAGGAAGGUGUGGAUGACGUCAAGUCAUCAUGCCCCUUACAUCCUGGGCUACACACGUACUACAAUGCUACGGACAAAGAGCAGCAAGUUCGCGAGGACAAGCAAAUCCCAUAAACCGUGGCUCAGUUCAGAUCGUAGGCUGCAACUCGCCUACGUGAAGGCGGAAUCGCUAGUAAUCG